rnacentral:rRNA from 1 species
CGGCGGACGGGUGAGUAGCGCGUGGGUGACCUGCCCCAUACCGGGGGAUAACAGCUGGAAACGGCUGCUAAUACCGCAUAAGCGCACAGAGCUGCAUGGCUCGGUGUGAAAAACUCCGGUGGUAUGGGAUGGGCCCGCGUCUGAUUAGGCAGUUGGCGGGGUAACGGCCCACCAAACCGACGAUCAGUAGCCGGCCUGAGAGGGCGACCGGCCACAUUGGGACUGAGACACGGCCCAAACUCCUACGGGAGGCAGCAUG